rnacentral:rRNA from 1 species
UGCCUAAUACAUGCAAGUCGAGCGCAGGAAGCAAGNUGAUCCCCUUCGGGGGUGACGCUUGUGGAAUGAGCGGCGGACGGGUGAGUAACACGUGGGCAACCUGCCUGUAAGACUGGGAUAACCCCGGGAAACCGGGGCUAAUACCGGAUAAUACUUUCUUUUGCAUAAAGGAAAGUUGAAAGGNGGCUUCGGCUGUCACUUACAGAUGGGCCCGCGGCGCAUUAGCUAGUUGGUGAGGUAACGGCUCACCAAGGCGACGAUGCGUAGCCGACCUGAGAGGGUGAUCGGCCACACUGGGACUGAGACACGGCCCAGACUCCUACGGGAGGCAGCAGUAGGGAAUCUUCCGCAAUGGACGAAAGUCUGACGGAGCAACGCCGCGUGAGUGAUGAAGGUUUUCGGAUCGUAAAACUCUGUUGUUAGGGAAGAACAAGUUGGAUAGUAACUGANCNNACCUUGACGGUACCUAACCAGAAAGCCACGGCUAACUACGUGCCAGCAGCCGCGGUAAUACGUAGGUGGCAAGCGUUGUCCGGAAUUAUUGGGCGUAAAGCGCUCGCAGGCGGUCCUUUAAGUCUGAUGUGAAAUCUCGCGGCUCAACCGCGAACGGUCAUUGGAAACUGGAGGACUUGAGUACAGAAGAGGAGAGUGGAAUUCCACGUGUAGCGGUGAAAUGCGUAGAGAUGUGGAGGAACACCAGUGGCGAAGGCGACUCUCUGGUCUGUAACUGACGCUGAGGAGCGAAAGCGUGGGGAGCGAACAGGAUUAGAUACCCUGGUAGUCCACGCCG